ensembl:misc_RNA 7SK 7SK RNA
GGAUGUGAGGACGAUCUGACUGCAACAUCUGUCACCCCACUGAUCACCAGGGUUGAUUCGGCUUAUUUGGCUUGCUAGGCGGGUGUCCCCUUCCUCCCUCACGGCUCCAUGUACGUCCCUCCCGAAGCUGCGUGCUGCCUUGAAAAGAGCAGCCUUCCCUGAAUAGAGAGGGCCCGGCCUGGUCUUCAGUCCAGGGUUUACAAAUAGCUGCACUCCCCCGCUAGAACCUCCAAACAAGCUCUCAAAUUAAGUUUGAGUGGAAGAGUUGGCACAUGCAGUGCAAAGCCUUCUAUACUUGUGCAGCUCUGAGCAGAGAACUUGGAGUA